UACGUAGGGUGCGAGCGUUGUCCGGAAUUACUGGGCGUAAAGAGCUCGUAGGUGGUUUGUCGCGUUGUUCGUGAAAACUCACAGCUUAACUGUGGGCGUGCGGGCGAUACGGGCAGACUGGAGUACUGCAGGGGAGACUGGAAUUCCUGGUGUAGCGGUGGAAUGCGCAGAUAUCAGGAGGAACACCGGUGGCGAAGGCGACUUUCUGGCUGCUAACUGACGCUGAGACGCGAAAGCUAGGGGAGCGAACGGG
rnacentral:rRNA from 1 species